rnacentral:rRNA from 1 species
GAUGAACGCUGGCGGCGUGCCUAAUACAUGCAAGUCGAGCGAACAGACGAGGAGCUUGCUCCUCUGACGUUAGCGGCGGACGGGUGAGUAACACGUGGAUAACCUACCUAUAAGACUGGGAUAACUUCGGGAAACCGGAGCUAAUACCGGAUAAUAUAUUGAACCGCAUGGUUCAAUAGUGAAAGACGGUCUUGCUGUCACUUAUAGAUGGAUCCGCGCCGCAUUAGCUAGUUGGUAAGGUAACGGCUUACCAAGGCGACGAUCCGUAGCCGACCUGAGAGGGUGAUCGGCCACACUGGAACUGAGACACGGUCCAGACUCCUACGGGAGGCAGCAGUAUGGUAUCUUCCGCAAUGGGCGGAAGCCUGACGGAGCAACGCCGCGUGAGUGAUGAAGGUCUUCGGAUCGUAAAACUCUGUUAUUAGGGAAGAACAAAUGUGUAAGUAACUAUGCACGUCUUGACGGUACCUAAUCAGAAAGCCACGGCUAACUACGUG